rfam:Candidate division WWE3 bacterium RIFCSPLOWO2_02_FTLL_53_10 rifcsplowo2_02_scaffold_7692, whole genome shotgun sequence.
GCAGGCGUGGCGGAACGGUAUACGCGUAGCGUUCAGAACGCUAUUCCCGAAAGGGAUUGGAGGUUCAAAUCCUCUCGCCUGCA